AAGUAAAGAAGUAAAAAUUACAUUUAGUUUCGACCUAAAAAUAAGGAUAUAAACUCCUCUUACUUG
rnacentral:tRNA from 1 species